rnacentral:lncRNA from 1 species
ACCCUAUGAUCUUCUGAAAGGAUUUAUAUAUUAUCUUGAAGGAUAAAAUUUAUUUUUGCACAACUAAUAAGUGGUUGUUUAUACCUAUAUUUUAAGUCAUAGACGAACUAUGAGCCAACAUUAUUUUGAAAGAUAUAUAUUAUGGUACUACAUACCAUUAUUAAGCACACAUUUAUAAAAGUGUGGUUGAACAAUGAUGUUCAAAGAAUGGCUUU